UACGUAGGGUGCAAGCGUUAAUCGGAAUUACUGGGCGUAAAGCGUGCGCAGGCGGUUUUGUAAGUCUGUCGUGAAAUCCCCGGGCUCAACCUGGGAAUUGCGAUGGAGACUGCAAGGCUGGAGUGCGGCAGAGGGGGAUGGAAUUCCGCGUGUAGCAGUGAAAUGCGUAGAUAUGCGGAGGAACACCGAUGGCGAAGGCAAUCCCCUGGGCCUGCACUGACGCUCAUGCACGAAAGCGUGGGGAGCAAACAGG
rnacentral:rRNA from 1 species